GGCCUAAGGCCAGCCCAGGAAGUGUCCAAAACACCUAAACCUAACCCUAACGCCUCAUUCUGCUAACUUUCAGAGAAGAUUGUUCCCCUACCCCCUUGCAGCUGAACGUAGAGCUCUGCUAGGGCAUCCUCCGAGCAACCGUUGUUUCACUCUAAGGUUUCAUCCGGUUUUACUGCACUGGUUUGAGUCGCCGUACUUUCCCCUCUUCUCAGUGAACUUCAGUGCUCCCACUCAAGAUGUGAGAAUCUCUGGCAGUGGUAAUAAUAAUAGAGAUGUUGCGGUUUGAUGAUAUCUUGGACGACUAUCAGACUCACUAUGGGGGCCUCAACGUUUGGAGUUUAGUAGUAGUAGUUUCUCUCGCUCUUGGCGAGUUUUUGUGCCUCAUUUAGGCCUGUGGAGCCUCUUCCUUUUGUUAUGGAUAUGUUGGGGUACUGUGUACGUCAUAUUCCGUUUUUCCGCACUCUCUGAAUAUUUAAUAUAUGUGGCGUUUAUUUAAAUUGAUUUUAUCUAUUUAAUUGGGA